rnacentral:lncRNA from 1 species
CCUACUUUGAUGGCUGGUUAGGACAGAAGUUUCGGCCCCUUUGAAGCUUGAAGAACCGUGAAAGCUCCUCCCUUUUCCAGCUAAAUAUGUUGUCCAAGACUUAGGCUAAGUGGUGCUAAAUUUUUAGAAGAUUUGGUGGUGAUUUGCAUGAGUUUUGGAAGAAGAAAUGUUGAAGGUUUCGGUUGUCCCUUUUGCUGCUGCUAUCCGGCCAUGAAGCUUUGCAGAAAUGAAAUGAGAUUGCUGGUUCCUUUGCGU